CAGUCGCCGCGGUAAAACGAGGGGGGCAAGCGUUGUUCGGAAUUAUUGGGCGUAAAGGGUGCGUAGGCGGUUUGACAAGUCAUCUGUGAAAUCUAUGGGCUCAACCCAUAGUCUGCAGGCGAAACUGUCGGGCUUGAGUAUUGGAGAGGUGAGUGGAAUUUCCGGUGUAGCGGUGAAAUGCGUAGAUAUCGGAAGGAACACCUGUGGCGAAAGCGGCUCACUGGACAAUAACUGACGCUGAGGCACGAAAGCUAGGGGAGCAAACAGGAUUAGAUACCCCCGUAGUCCCUGUCUCUUAUAA
rnacentral:rRNA from 1 species